AUUGAACGCUGGCGGCAGGCCUAACACAUGCAAGUCGAACGAGUGGCGGACGGGUGCGUAAUGUAUGGGAAACUGCCCGAAGGCGGGGGAAAACUACUGGAAAAGGUAGAUAAUACAGCAUACCAUCAAUUGUGACCAGAUGGGCUUAGCUAGUUGGUGGGGUAACGGCUAACCAAGGCGACGAUCCCGAGCUGGUCUGAGAGGCUGACCUGCCACACGGGAACAGCGACACGGUCCAGACUCCUACGGGAGGCAGCAGUGGGUAAUAUUGCACAAUGGGCGCAAGCCUUAUGCAGCCAGGCCGCGUGUAUGAAGAAGGCCUUCGGGUUGUAAAGUACUUGCAUCGGGGAGGCGUUACCCGCAGAAGAAGCGCCGGCUAACUCCGUGCCAGCCGCCGCGGUAAUAC
rnacentral:rRNA from 1 species